GGGGGCUAAUACCGAAUAUGACCUGGUCUCGCAUGAGGCUUGGUGGAAAGUUUUUCGGCCUGGGAUGGGCUCGCGGCCUAUCAGCUUGUUGGUGGGGUGAUGGCCUACCAAGGCGACGACGGGUAGCCGGCCUGAGAGGGCGACCGGCCACACUGGGACUGAGACACGGCCCAGAUACCUACGGGAGGCAGCAGUGGGGAAUAUUGCACAAUGGGCGGAAGCCUGAUGCAGCGACGCCGCGUGAGGGAUGACGGCCUUCGGGUUGUAAACCUCUUUCAGCAGGGACGAAGCGUAAGUGACGGUACCUGCAGAAGAAGCGCCGGCCAACUACGUGCCAGCAGCCGCGGUAAGACGUAGGGCGCGAGCGUUGUCCGGAUUUAUUGGGCGUAAAGAGCUCGUAGGCGGCUUGUCGCGUCGACCGUGAAAACUUGGGGCUCAACCCCAAGCCUGCGGUCGAUACGGGCAGGCUAGAGUUCGGUAGGGGAGACUGGAAUUCCUGGUGUAGCGGUGAAAUGCGCAGAUAUCAGGAGGAACACCGGUGGC
rnacentral:rRNA from 1 species